CUUGUCGGGUAAGUUCCGACCCGCACGAAAGGCGUAACGAUUUGGGCACUGUCUCAACGAGAGACUCGGUGAAAUCAUAGUACCUGUGAAGAUGCAGGUUACCCGCGACAGGACGGAAAGACCCCGUGGAGCUUUACUGUAGCCUGAUAUUGAAAUUCGGCACAGCUUGUACAGGAUAGGUAGGAGCCUUUGAAACGUGAGCGCUAGCUUACGUGGAGGCGCUGGGGGGAUACUACCCUAGCUGUGUUGGCUUUCUAACCCGCACCACUUAUCGUGGUGGGAGACAGUGUCAGGCGGGCAGUUUGACUGGGGCGGUCGCCUCCUAAAAGGUAACGGAGGCGCUCAAAGGUUCCCUCAGAAUGGUUGGAAAUCAUUCAUAGAGUGUAAAGGCAUAAGGGAGCUUGACUGCGAGACCUACAAGUCGAGCAGGGUCGAAAGACGGACUUAGUGAUCCGGUGGUUCCGCAUGGAAGGGCCAUCGCUCAACGGAUAAAAGCUACCCCGGGGAUAACAGGCUUAUCUCCCCCAAGAGUUCACAUCGACGGGGAGGUUUGGCACCUCGAUG
rnacentral:rRNA from 1 species